UACAUGAGUGGUGAGCGUUGUUUAUAAUUGUUAGGUGUAAAAAAUCCUAAGAGAUUUGUAUUUACUAAACUUUUAUAUAGUAACCACAAAUUAAAAUAACAAUAUCUUUUUAGAAAUAGCUGCAUAUCCUAUAGAGAGGUAAAAUUCUAUUAUUACGGGGUAUUUUUUCAAUUAUGAAAAUAAGUUGUUUUAUUUAGAUUGAUUCUAAGGAUGAAAGUAUAGGUAACGGCGAGGAUUAGAGACCCUUUUAGGCUAUACUGUAAAUUAUGGUAGAUUGCAUAGUGCAUAGCUAACGUAAAAUCUACCUACCGGGGGACUACAAUCGCAAGAUUCAAACUUAAAAAAAUUGGCGGGACUUUUCAUACGGUGGAACAUGUGAUUUAAUGCGGUAAUCCUCGCAAAAACUCACUAAUAUAUAUAAUUAUUUAAGUACCUUAAAACGUAUUUUAAUUUAAUUAUGUAGGUAUUGCAUGGCUGUCGUCAGCUCGUGUUUUAAAAUGUAGCGUUUAGUCGUCGUAAACGAGCGUAAUCCUAAUUUUUUAUUUUAUAAAAAACUAUGGUUGAAGUCAAGUCUGUAUGGUCUAUUUAUAUUAGGCUACACACGUGUUACAUAGGGGGAAACAAUAAUAUAAAAAAUAGUAAUAUUUUUUUGUAUAAAAACUCUCUAAUUCGGAUUAAAGAUUUAAAUUCAUCUUUAUGAAGACGAAAUCGUCAGUAAUUGUAUUUUAGAAUGAUACAGUGAAGAUAAAUAAAAGUUUGCACACACCGCCCAUCACGCUCGGAGAAUCAAAGGAGCUUAAGCUGUUUCAGUUUGCAUAUAUUUAUAAUAUAUGCGUAUUUGAUUCAGAAUACUCUUCUUUGGUAAUUUGAGUGAAG
rnacentral:rRNA from 1 species